rnacentral:rRNA from 1 species
UAGGGAAUCUUCGGCAAUGGGGGGAACCCUGACCGAGCAACGCCGCGGGAGUGAAGAAGGUUUUCGGAUCGUAAAGCUCUGUUGUUAAGGAAGAACGAGUGUGAGAAUGGAAAGUUCAUGCUGUGACGGUACUUAACCAGAAAGGGACGGCUAACUACGUGCCAGCAGCCGCGGUAAUACGUAGGUCCCGAGCGUUGUCCGGAUUUAUUGGGCGUAAAGCGAGCGCAGGCGGUUAGAAAAGUCUGAAGUGAAAGGCAGUGGCUCAACCAUUGUAGGCUUUAAGAACUGUUUAACUUGAGUGCAGAAGGGGAGGGUGGAAUUCCAUGUGUGGCGGUGAAAUGCGUAGAUAUAUGGAGGAACACCGGUGGCGAAAGCGGCUCUCUGGUCUGUAACUGACGCUGAGGCUCGAAAGCGUGGGGAGCGAACAGG